rnacentral:lncRNA from 1 species
GGUGGCCCCGCGGAUCCCGCCCUCAGGCUCUGCGUUUGCGAGUGGCCACGGGACACAGACUUCCGGAGCUGUGGAAGCCUUGCCGGGCACUGCGGAUCUAGAGAUGGAUUCGGGGGUCCCUGCCCCGGGGCCCAGUGCUGCCGAGGAGGCAGACUGCAGCCCCCUCCCCGGGCCGCUGUGCCUCUGUGGGACACCCACUGCACGAGGCCAGGCCGGGGCUCAGAGCAUCGGGCACCACGGUCCCCGCCUCCCAGAGCCUCAGCCAGCAGGACGUGGACGAGGAAGGAGCACAGACAGCGUGCUGUGGCUGGUGGGGCGGUAGAGCGCUGGGGUCCUUGGGAGCUUUGGAGGCCAGAAGUCUGAAACCAAGCUGUGGGCAGGGCCGAGCUCCCUCAAAGGCUCCUGGAGACUCCUUCUAGCCUCUGCCAGCUUUGGGCGUGUGCCGGCCAGCCUCUCCUUGUGUCUUCACGUCAUCCUCCCUCUGUGUGUGUCUGCGCCCUAAUUUCCCCCAUCGUAAGGACACG